AUGGCAGCAUAUGCGCCUAGAGGAACACUGGAGAUCAUGGAGGCUAGGAAGGCUCCUAAAACAGCAAAUGGCCAGAGAAGAAUAGCCAGACCAGCGAAUGGCACACACGCUGUCUCAAGGAAAGGUCCUUCUCUGCCAACCAGAUCUUCAAUCAGUCGCUUCCAUCCUUUAAAAAGCAUCACAGGGAACUUGUACAAGGCAAUUGCUGUGAACAUUAUCCCAUCCAUUAAGAGUCCACAUGCGGCAGCGAGUACUGCGCCAGGAAUAUCAAGCACUCUGGGAAAAUGCAGAGUUAACUGUUUGAAUUUGUUCAACAAAAUUCUUCGAGAAAAAAAGAUACAUAGGGUAUUCAAAUAUAGCAUGGUGGAAUUUCAUUUGACAUGGCAAACUUCACAUAGAAAUUAUUCUUUACUUCACCGCAAUCCUGAAAUGUUUGUCCAUAGCAAAAACAAAUGCACCAUAUAA
rnacentral:rRNA from 1 species